rnacentral:tRNA from 1 species
GGCAACGUAGUCUAAUGGCAAGGCCUGGGUUUGCAAAACCCAUAAUAGCAGUUCAAAUCUGCUCGUUGCCU